rnacentral:rRNA from 1 species
GAUCCUGGCUCAGGAUGAACGCUAGCGGCAGGCUUAACACAUGCAAGUCGAGGGGUAUAGUUCUUCGGGACUUGAGACCGGCGCACGGGUGCGUAACGCGUAUGCAAUCUACCUUAUACAGGGGAAUAGCCCAGAGAAAUUUGGAUUAAUGCCCCAUAGUGUUAUCGAAUCGCAUGGUUUGAUAACUAAAGUUCCAACGGUAUAAGAUGAGCAUGCGUCCCAUUAGUUAGAUGGUAAGGUAACGGCUUACCAUGGCUACGAUGGGUAGGGGUCCUGAGAGGGAGAUCCCCCACACUGGUACUGAGACACGGACCAGACUCCUACGGGAGGCAGCAGUGAGGAAUAUUGGACAAUGGGCGCAAGCCUGAUCCAGCCAUGCCGCGUGCAGGAAGAAGGUCCUAUGGAUUGUAAACUGCUUUUAUACAAGAAGAAACACUCCCUCGUGAGGGAACUUGACGGUACUGUAUGAAUAAGGACCGGCUAACUCCGUG